GAUGAACGCUGGCGGCGCGCCUAACACAUGCAAGUCGAACGGUUAAAGCCCCUUUCGGGGGUGCAUAAAGUGGCGAACGGCUGAGUAACACGUGGGCAACCUGCCCCUCGCACCGGGACAGCCUCGGGAAACCGUGGUUAAUACCGGAUACUCCCGCACCCCCGCAUGGGGGCGCGGGGAAAGCCCAGACGGCGAGGGAUGGGCCCGCGGCCUGUUAGCUCGUUGGCGGGGUAACGGCCCACCAAGGCGAUGAUGGGUAGCCGGGUUGAGAGACCGACCGGCCAGAUUGGGACUGAGACACGGCCCAGACUCCUACGGGAGGCAGCAGUGGGGAAUCUUGCGCAAUGGGCGGAAGCCUGACGCAGCGACGCCGCGUGCGGGAAGGAGGCCUUCGGGUCGUAAACCGCUUUCAGCAGGGACGAGGCCGCGAGGUGACGGUACCUGCAGAAGAAGCCCCGGCUAACUACGUGCCAGCAGCCGCGGUAAUACGUAGGGGGCAAGCGUUAUCCGGAUUCAUUGGGCGUAAAGCGCGCGUAGGCGGCCUGUUAGGUCGGGAGUCAAAUCCGGGGGCUCAACCCCCGCCCGCUCCCGAUACCGGCGGGCUUGAGUCUGGCAGGGGAAGGCGGAAUUCCAAGUGUAGCGGUGGAAUGCGCAGAUAUUUGGAAGAACACCGGUGGCGAAGGCGGCCUUCUGGGCCACGACUGACGCUGAGGCGCGAAAGCUAGGGGAGCGAACAGG
rnacentral:rRNA from 1 species